rnacentral:ncRNA from 2 species
UACGAACCGUGAAAGCGUGGCCUA